rnacentral:rRNA from 1 species
UACAGAGGUCUCAAGCGUUUGUUCGGAUUCAUUGGGCGUAAAGGUGCGUAGGCGGCGCGGUAAGUCGGGUGUGAAAUCUCGGAGCUUAACUCCGAAACUGCAUUCGAUACUGCCGUGCUUGAGGACUGGAGAGGAGACUGGAAUUUACGGUGUAGCGGUGAAAUGCGUAGAUAUCGGGAGGAACACCGGUGGCGAAGGCGGCCCCCUG